ensembl:lncRNA
ACACUGCGGGUGGAUUUUUUUUACCAGCUGAGCCCCAAGGGUCCUCUUAUUAACAUUUUUGGUCCCCAGGCUUGAGUGUGUCAUCUGCUUGGACUGUGACCCUGCCAAAUACAGCACAUCAGGGCAUUUAUCCUAGGCCCCCACUAAAUGGUCAACGUGUGGAGAACUAAAAAUCCCUUUUCAUUCUUUUUGUGUCUGAGGGGGGAAAUCUGUCUCCUGCUUUUGGUCUUUCACUUUUCCUUUUUCUCCAGGAAAGAUUUUGAACUUUUAGCUCCUCUUCAACUUGCCCCAGUUGAGAGUGUUUAAAUAUCAACCUAUUUCCAGGGACAUGGAAAAUAUUAAGGAAUGCAUUCUCAGACUUAUCCUGCUGUGGGCUUCAUGCAAUAGAUUGAGAUCUGAGGGUCCUGGCUUCGUCUUGAAGGCAGGCGCAAUGGUACAAAAAUUUGCCUGCAAAGCAGGAGAUGCAAGUUUGAUCCCUGGGUCGGGAAGAUCCCCUAGAGAAGGAAAUGGCAGCCCACUCCAGUAUUCUUGCCUGGGAAAUCCCAUAGGCAGAGGAGCCUGGUGGGCUAUAGUCCAUGGGGUUGUAGAAGAGUCAGACAUGGCUAAGCAACUAAAGAACACCACCUAUGACUUUGAAUAAGUUUGUGUGUACAAUUCGGGUUUCACACAUCUACAAUCACAGAGCUUGGACUAGCCUACAUAUGUAACAAUGUUAAACUGAGUGCAUGUCUUUGUAUAUGAAGAAGGAACCUAAGUGUGUUUGUAAAAAAAAAAAAAAAUGAUUGAAAGAAGUGUUGCCUGUUGUGCCAGAACCAUACUUAUUCUUAUGUAAAUCCUUGGCUUGGUUAUAAUUUUUGUUGAUUCAAACCAUUUGUCAAGAUGAAAAAGUCUCA